rnacentral:rRNA from 1 species
CCUACGGGUGGCAGCAGUGGGGAAUAUUGCACAAUGGGGGAAACCCUGAUGCAGCGACGCCGCGUGAGUGAAGAAGUAUUUCGGUACGUAAAGCUCUAUCAGCAGGGAAGAAAAACCGGCCUUCGGACCGCCAAGCGGUACCUAACUAAGAAGCCGCGGCUAACUACGUGCCUGCAGCCGCGGUAAUACGUAGGGGGCAAGCGUUAUCCGGAUUUACUGGGUGUAAAGGGAGCGUAGACGGCAGCGCAAGUCUGGAGUGACAUGCCGGGGCCCAACCCCGGAACUGCUUUGGAAACUGUGCAGCUGGAGUGCAGGAGAGGUAAGUGGAAUUCCUAGUGUAGCGGUGAAAUGCGUAGAUAUUAGGAGGAACACCAGUGGCGAAGGCGGCUUACUGGACUGUAACUGACGUUGAGGCUCGAAAGCGUGGGGAGCAAACAGGAUUAGAUACCCGUGUAGUC